AUGGGCAAGGAGUGGCCGGUGUGGUUUCGUGAAAACAGUUGCGAUAAAAGGCUUGGAAAUGGAUGGAAACGGUUUGUAGAAGACAACAAGCUGAAGAUGGGUGAUAUGUGCCUCUUUGAACUGCUGAGAGAUGAGAGGACCAUGGAGGUACAUAUCAUCCCCACUGCAAACGAUGACAAUUAUCGGGCAGGUCUCCAGAAUGGUGCUGACCGGGAAGCGGCGUUCCGGGGAGGGGCUCCUACUCAUCAUACGAAUGGAGCGUGUGAUCCUGACACAAGGUUGCUUCGCAUCACUAAAACUGAAGCUAUGGAAGAUGAUGCUGUUGCCCCUGAUGGUGCCUGA
rnacentral:rRNA from 1 species